rnacentral:rRNA from 1 species
AUGCACGCUGGCGGCGUGCCUCAUACCUGCCAGUCGCGCGAACAGACGAGGAGCUUGCUCCUCUGACGUUAGCGGCGGACGGGUGAGUAACACGUGGAUAACCUACCUAUAAGACUGGGAUAACUUCGGGAAACCGGAGCUAAUACCGGAUAAUAUAUUGAACCGCAUGGUUCAAUAGUGAAAGACGGUUUUGCUGUCACUUAUAGAUGGAUCCGCGCUGCAUUAGCUAGUUGGUAAGGUAACGGCUUACCAAGGCGACGAUGCGUAGCCGACCUGAGAGGGUGAUCGGCCACACUGGAACUGAGACACGGUCCAGACUCCUACGGGAGGCAGCAGUAGGGAAUCUUCCGCAAUGGGCGAAAGCCUGACGGAGCAACGCCGCGUGAGUGAUGAAGGUCUUCGGAUCGUAAAACUCUGUUAUUAGGGAAGAACAAAUGUGUAAGUAACUAUGCACGUCUUGACGGUACCUAAUCAGAAAGCCACGGCUAACUACGUG